rnacentral:rRNA from 1 species
UCAGAUUGAACGCUGGCGGCAGGCCUAACACAUGCAAGUCGAGCGGUAGCACAGAGAGCUUGCUCUCGGGUGACGAGCGGCGGACGGGUGAGUAAUGUCUGGGAAACUGCCUGAUGGAGGGGGAUAACUACUGGAAACGGUAGCUAAUACCGCAUAAUGUCGCAAGACCAAAGUGGGGGACCUUCGGGCCUCAUGCCAUCAGAUGUGCCCAGAUGGGAUUAGCUAGUAGGUGGGGUAACGGCUCACCUAGGCGACGAUCCCUAGCUGGUCUGAGAGGAUGACCAGCCACACUGGAACUGAGACACGGUCCAGACUCCUACGGGAGGCAGCAGUGGGGAAUAUUGCACAAUGGGCGCAAGCCUGAUGCAGCCAUGCCGCGUGUGUGAAGAAGGCCUUCGGGUUGUAAAGCACUUUCAGCGGGGAGGAAGGCGGUAAGGUUAAUAACCUCAUCGAUUGACGUUACCCGCAGAAGAAGCACCGGCUAACUCCGUGCCAGCAGCCGCGGUAAUACGGAGGGUGCAAGCGUUAAUCGGAAUUACUGGGCGUAAAGCGCACGCAGGCGGUCUGUCAAGUCGGAUGUGAAAUCCCCGGGCUCAACCUGGGAACUGCAUUCGAAACUGGCAGGCUAGAGUCUUGUAGAGGGGGGUAGAAUUCCAGGUGUAGCGGUGAAAUGCGUAGAGAUCUGGAGGAAUACCGGUGGCGAAGGCGGCCCCCUGGACAAAGACUGACGCUCAGGUGCGAAAGCGUGGGGAGCAAACAGGAUUAGAUACCCUGGUAGUCCACGCCGUAAACGAUGUCGAUUUGGAGGUUGUGCCCUUGAGGCGUGGCUUCCGGAGCUAACGCGUUAAAUCGACCGCCUGGGGAGUACGGCCGCAAGGUUAAAACUCAAAUGAAUUGACGGGGGCCCGCACAAGCGGUGGAGCAUGUGGUUUAAUUCGAUGCAACGCGAAGAACCUUACCUGGUCUUGACAUCCACAGAACUUUCCAGAGAUGGAUUGGUGCCUUCGGGAACUGUGAGACAGGUGCUGCAUGGCUGUCGUCAGCUCGUGUUGUGAAAUGUUGGGUUAAGUCCCGCAACGAGCGCAACCCUUAUCCUUUGUUGCCAGCGGUCCGGCCGGGAACUCAAAGGAGACUGCCAGUGAUAAACUGGAGGAAGGUGGGGAUGACGUCAAGUCAUCAUGGCCCUUACGACCAGGGCUACACACGUGCUACAAUGGCAUAUACAAAGAGAAGCGACCUCGCGAGAGCAAGCGGACCUCAUAAAGUAUGUCGUAGUCCGGAUUGGAGUCUGCAACUCGACUCCAUGAAGUCGGAAUCGCUAGUAAUCGUAGAUCAGAAUGCUACGGUGAAUACGUUCCCGGGCCUUGUACACACCGCCCGUCACACCAUGGGAGUGGGUUGCAAAAGAAGUAGGUAGCUUAACCUUCGGGAGGGCGCUUACCACUUUGUGAUUCAUGACUGGGGUGA